rnacentral:rRNA from 1 species
CCUACGGGAGGCAGCAGUAGGGAAUAUUGGGCAAUGGACGCAAGUCUGACCCAGCCAUGCCGCGUGCAGGAAGAAGGCGUUAUGCGUUGUAAACUGCUUUUAUACAGGAAGAAACGACUCUUGCGAGAGGCAUUGACGGUACUGUAUGAAUAAGCACCGGCUAACUCCGUGCCAGCAGCCGCGGUAAU